UCAGUUGUGAAAGUUUGCGGCUCAACCGUAAAAUUGCAGUUGAUACUGGAUGUCUUGAGUGCAGUUGAGGCAGGCGGAAUUCGUGGUGUAGCGGUGAAAUGCUUAGAUAUCACGAAGAACUCCGAUUGCGAAGGCAGCCUGCUAAGCUGCAACUGACAUUGAGGCUCGAAAGUAUGGGUAUCAAACAGGAUUAGAUACCCUGGUAGUCCACACGGUAAACGAUGAAUACUCGCUGUUUGCGAUAUACGGCAAGCGGCCAAGCGAAAGCGUUAAGUAUUCCACCUGGGGAGUACGCCGGCAACGGUGAAACUCAAAGGAAUUGACGGGGGCCCGCACAAGCGGAGGAACAUGUGGUUUAAUUCGAUGAUACGCGAGGAACCUUACCCGGGCUUAAAUUGCACUCGAAUGAUCCGGAAACGGUUCAGCUAGCAAUAGCGAGUGUGAAGGUGCUGCAUGGUUGUCGUCAGCUCGUGCCGUGAGGUGUCGGCUUAAG
rnacentral:rRNA from 1 species